UACGUAGGGGGCUAGCGUUGUCCGGAAUCAUUGGGCGUAAAGAGCGUGUAGGCUGCUCGGUAAGUCCGCUGUAAAAGUCAAAGGCUCAACCUUUUGAAUGUCAGUGGAUACUGCCGGGCUAGAGUCCGGAAGAGGCGAGUGGAACUCCUGGUGUAGCGGUGGAAUGCGCAGAUAUCAGGAGGAACACCGGUGGCGAAGGCGGGUCUCUGGGCAACAACUGACGUGAGGAGCGAAAGCGUGGGGAGCGAACAGG
rnacentral:rRNA from 1 species